rfam:Streptomyces cattleya DSM 46488, complete genome.
UGGGGGUUACCGCCGAGUUCGAGUGCCGGCGUGCGUCACGGGGGGACUGGUACUCGGAGCCGGGGAACCAACAUUCCCGGGGUGAAUCGGGGUCAGGUCGUGCCGUGCGGCGCGAUGGGACCCGGUAGGGCUGCUUCCUGCCCGAACCCGACAGCUCACCCGGUAGGCGGCAACAGGAAGAAGGA